UACGUAGGGGGCAAGCGUUGUCCGGAUUUACUGGGCGUAAAGCGCGUGUAGGCGGUUGCGUUAGUCUGCUGUGAAAUCUCCGGGCUUAACCUGGAGGGGUCGGUGGAAACUGCUCGACUUGAGGACGGUAGAGGGGGGUGGAAUUCCCGGUGUAGUGGUGAAAUGCGUAGAGAUCGGGAGGAACACCAGCGGCGAAGGCGGGUCUCUGGACAGUUCCUGACGCUGAGGCACGAAGGCCAGGGGAGCAAACGGG
rnacentral:rRNA from 1 species